rnacentral:lncRNA from 1 species
CAAUUUUCUUGCACUAUUCUUAAAAACAUACACACAAUUUCUAACUAACCAUGACAUGUAUCAAAGACUUGGCCUCAAUCUUACUUCACACUUUAGCCUUAGAUAGAAAAAUAUAAAUAAUCUUUCUUAAUGAGGGUCAUCAACUCUCUCACACAUAAACCAUUUCUUAUCCACUAUCAUCACCACUAUCUUAACAUAG